ACGGGGAUGGUCCAAUGGGAGGACGCGGGCCUCUGAAGCCCUGAAGUCCAGGUUCGAGUCCUGGUCCCCGUU
rnacentral:tRNA from 2 species